GGAAGAAGAGACUGGGUCACGGGAAUGCUUUAAUGUGGAAACCCUGAAUUCAUUCCACACAUCUGCCUUCUGGGGACACAGGUCCAACAUUCUAUAUUAGAUACGUGCGGGGGAAGCAGGUAAAAAACAAGGGACACCAUUGUGGCCAAAGGAACAGAGUGUUUCCACGAAGUCAAACAGCUUUUUAUGAGGUUUCUUUGUAUCUGUCUGAAUGUAUCAAUCACCUACAAUGGAAUGAAAGAUGCCCAGAUGCUAUCUGAAUUGAUGAUUCUGAAAUCAACAGCUUGAUUAACAGUGACAGUAAAGAGUAUCAUUACGUUAUAUACCAGAUGGAAAAGACUUUGCAUUCUGGUAGACCAACUGAUGCCACCCAGACCCGUGACCCAUGCCAAAGAACUGAUUCAACUGGUUCUGUGACUCCCACCCAUGAAGUCACUCAGGACAUGAAGACAGUUUUGACACUCCUGUGAUUUCAUCCCUGACCAAAUCGCAGUUCCCAUUCCUUAGCACCCCACACACACCAAAUCAUCCUAAAAAACCCUUACCUCCAAAUUCAUGGGGAGGCAGAUUUGAGAGAUAUUGCCCAUCCUCCCCACUCAGUGGCCCUGCAAUUAUUAAAAUUAUUUCUUUGCUGCAACA